GAAAUCCUACGGGGCGCAGCAGUGGGGAAUAUUGCACAAUGGAGGAAACCCUGAUGCAGCAACGCCGCGUGAGUGAAGAAGGUUUUCGGAUUGUAAAGCUCUGUUAGCAGGGAAGAGGAAGGACGGUACCUGCAGAGGAAGCCACGGCUAACUACGUGCCAGCAGCCGCGGUAAUACGUAGGUGGCAAGCGUUGUUCGGAAUAACUGGGCGUAAAGGAUGCGUAGGCGGUUAAACAAGUUAUAUGUUAAAGAUAUAGGCUUAAACUGUAGAAAGCAUAUAAAACUGUUUAACUAGAGGUCAGGAG
rnacentral:rRNA from 1 species